rnacentral:lncRNA from 1 species
UUUAGAAGCGACAUAUACUAGAAGACUUGGAAGAAUUAGAGCCCAGGAUAAGUGCUUUAGAAGAUGAUUUAGAUGAUUUGGAAUCUGAAGAGGAAGAAAUACAAGAAGAACUGCCUAUUAGACAACGUAGUGAGUCUCCCAUUGAACGUAAACGCAGAAGAAGCAGAACACCAGAAAAAAGGAGGAGAUCGCGUUCUGCUUCUCCUUAUAGAAAUAGACGAAGUCCUAGUCCACGUCGUCAUCGUCAUCGGAGUCGCUCAAGAUCACCUAGACACAGACGUCACCAUUCUAGAUCUCCAAAACGAAGAAGAUAAAUUUGAAAUAUUUUUAUGCGGUUUGUAUUAAAUGGCUUCGAUCUAAAAGGUGCUAAACAGCCUUUCAUUAGAGCAAAAUCCCGAAAAAUUUGAUCAUGCAUUUUAUAAAUGCUGAUCGUUUUCUAAAUGCUGAACGUUUAGUAUUUGCUAAACGUUUUGUAAACGUUGCAGUAUUAAUUUAUAACUAAAGAU